GAUGAAGAACGCAGCGAAAUGCGAUAAGUAAUGUGAAUUGCAGAAUUCAGUGAAUCAUCGAAUCUUUGAACGCACAUUGCGCCCCCUGGUAUUCCGGGGGGCAUGCCUGUUCGAGCGUCAUUUCACCACUCAAGCCUCGCUUGGUAUUGGGCAACGCGGUCCGCCGCGUGCCUCAAAUCGACCGGCUGGGUCUUCUGUCCCCUAAGCGUUGUGGAAACUAUUCGCUAAAGGGUGUUCGGGAGGCUACGCCGUAAAACAACCCCAUUUCUAAGGUUGACCUCGGAUCAGGUAGGGAUACCCGCUGAACUUAAGCAUAUCAAUAAGCAGGA
rnacentral:misc_RNA from 1 species